ensembl:lncRNA
CGAAUUUCUAAUAAGUUUUGUGAACCCACGCGAGCAACCAAAGACAAAAAAUCCCACCAGAUUUGAUGGAAGAAUGCACUGAAGGGGUGAGCACAACCCUCGCUAGACAUCAGAAAACCCAAUUCUAGGGAACGUGGUUAUUGGGGACCAGGGUCUUUCAGCUACACCCUGGUGGGAAUGGCUUGCAGGGUUUGCACAACUUGCUGUUCAAACAUUACAGCAUCUCAGAGACGUGACCAAUUAACCCUGAAGUAAACCGAGGCAGGAUAUGGGUGUCUUAAGGGAGUGGAGUCAGCCCUGCAACUGUCUUGUCCAGCUUUUUCCCUGUACACAACACAAGUGACAACGGUUUGGCAACCAGUCUGGGAUAUUUUUUAUCUGCUUUCUUCUCUCUCCUUUCUGGACUUCAAUAUGUAUUUUGAAUUUUUGCUGCAAAAUGCAGAAAGUAAAU